rnacentral:rRNA from 1 species
GGUUUAAUUCGAAGCAACGCGAAGAACCGUACCAGGUCUUGACAUCCUGUGACCACUCUGGAGAAAGAGCUUUCGCGUCGGGGACAAAGUGACAGGUGGUGCAUGGUUGUCGUCAGCUCGUGUCGUGGGAUGUUGGGUUAAGUCCCGCAACGAGCGCAACCCUUGAUUUUAGUUGCCAGCAUUUAGUUGGGCACUCUAAAGUGA